CAGACCCAAUACGACGUCGUUUCUCAGUUUCUCCUCAUCUCUCAUGAAUCCCUUUCGCGUGUAUCCUCUUCCACCUCCAAUCUACCCUAGCUGCUUAGCGUGUUUUCCACCCACAUCUCACCAAUCCAUCAAUUGCGUCCUUUCUGAUUGAUCUAAUGAGGCUUUACUUUCGGCCGCCGUUUGAGGUUUGUACGAUUUGCUUGCCGUCGUGUAUGUUUGAACCAUUCACAUCUCUACCUCUCAAAUCAUCUACUGUUCAUUCGUCAUCUUCUCCUACAAAACCGAAAUUCUAGGUUUGAAUGCAUCAGCAAUGGUUGAAUUGAAUCUCUAAUCAAAUGGUUAUUGGAUUUGUUCAAUGUGGGGUUCCUGCUAUUGAAGAAUGGAGAAAUCAGAUGUUUAAGGCUGCUCAUUAGAAUAGGCUCAUAGGACCUAAGACUUACCAUGACGAGUGGGACUGAGAAAAGAAGGGUAUAGAGAGUGGAAAGUGUACCAAAGAAAUAAAAGUAUAAGAGAGUGUUGCUAUGCUAUUUGAGGUGUGUUGUGGAGAAAGACUGUCGCCUAACAUGAUGGUGACAGAUCUUUUGGGGGUCCUUGGCUGUUGUGGGUUUUGCUUCCUCUUGAGGGCAAGUAUGUUGAUAUGCCUCACUGCCUCAACCAUGCAUCUACUACUUUUUAUUCUUCCACUUUUGUAUUUUAUUAUAGCAGUGCAAUGGCAAUUGGGAUCAUUCUUGUGGUACUGAUUGUUCUAAAUCAGACGUUAGUAUACAAGAGCAAGAGCAUUGGUCUAGAGGUUCAGUCUGUAGUGGAGAGAAUGACUUUCUAAGAUUAGUUAGCCUAUGAAGGAAAUACUCUUUUGUACAUGAUUAAACAAACUGAUUGGGAAGGAAGCCCUUUUUAAAGUUGAAAAAUCAAGUGACCAUGGGAUGAAGUAUGAUGAUUCAUACAAAGUGAAGAAGAUCUGUGAUGAUAUGUCAAUAAUUGAGCUUUUCAAGGACAAGACAAAGAUUGAAACUCCAACUAUUGUAUUUUCUAUUUUGAUCUUAUUUAAUAAUUUUUUUUGUUAUACUGCUUAUUUGCAUUAUCUUAUUUCCCCAUUUAAGUAAACUAACCGUUUAUCCCCUUAUUAUUGCUGAUAUAUUUGCAUCAAAAUCUGCAUCUGAUGACUAGGAAUCUGAAAUUAGUGAUAAAUCUGUUGGCUGUUCUAGCGAUUUCUAUGCAGUUCCUGACAGUGUUGUGUCUCUUGAUGAGCUUUCCCCUUUCAAAGAUUUUGUAGGAUGUUCAGGUGCUGGCAAAUCUGAGGGUGAUUGUCUUUCUCUUUCCAGGCCUCUAAGAAAGAAGAGGUUGCUCAAUCUAAAAAUUGAGAAGUGAGAAGUAAAGAUGCUUAUCUAUCUAUUAUGGACAUCUUCAGUGUAAUUUUGUUGUUGUGUUUUGGUGCAAAUGGAUUUGUAUUUGUAUCUUACUAUUCAUUUCUCAGACAAUGUGGUCUUAAUAUCCAUCAUAUUCUACCAAGCAUUGCUGUGUUUGGUUAUUAUAUAUUAUAAGAAUAUGAUAUAGGAUAGAUGAGAUGUCCCUCUAUUAGGAUAUUAGACGUUUUAAUAUGUAAUUCCCCUACCAUAUUUUGGUUUUAAGGUAUUAUGGUAUAAUAUAUGUGAUUUAUUUUUUUCCA